rnacentral:rRNA from 1 species
UACGGAGGGUGCGAGCGUUGUCCGGAAUCACUGGGCGUAAAGGGCGCGUAGGCGGCCUGAUAAGUAGGGGGUGAAAUCCUGAGGCUUAACCUCAGGGCUGCCUUCUAAACUGCCAGGCUCGAGCACAGUAGAGGCAGGUGGAAUUCCCGGUGUAGCGGUGGAAUGCGUAGAGAUCGGGAAGAACAUCAGUGGCGAAGGCGGCCUGCUGGGCUGUUGCUGACGCUGAGGCGCGACAGCGUGGGGAGCAAACAGG